GCUCAGUGGUAGACAACCCUAGGUUCAAUCCCCAGCACCACCCCGCCAAAAUUUUUUUUAAAUAUUUAUUUCUUUUAGUUGUACACAAUGCCUUUAUUUUUAUUUAUUUACUUUUAUGUGGUGCUGAGAAUCCAACCCAGGGCCUUGCAUGCGCCAGGCGAGUGCUCUACCACUGAGCCACAACACCAGCCCCCAAAAAUUGUUUUCUUGAAGGAGGACCUUGGAUAAGUGCCUAAAUAAUAGAGUAGAUUUUCAUAGAUGGGUGGACAGGAAGAAAUGCCUCCUUCUAGAUCUUCUGGACUGUUUUGAUUUUGAAUAUAACCCUGGCUAUACACAUGCAGUCAUAAUUGCUAGAGUGGGUGUCCCACUUUAGAGUUUGAAGCAUGGUCCGCCUGGACAUCAACAAAUGACUGGAUGGAAGAGGCGGUCACCUAGCAAUGGGGAGGGUGAGGAGGCACACAGUGUCAACACCCUUCCCCAGCCUCCAGCUCUCUCUCCCCUUUAUGUUCCUUCUCCAAGAACAAACCCACACAACAUCCCUAUGUCCCAGAGGGAGAAACAUUUGCAACGGCUGGGAAUGGGAUAGAACCAGGAACAUGCAAUCAGCACUCGCAAUCGGCUGCAGCGAUUGUGCAAUGACAGUCACGGUUCUAUUUGUUCUGUGACAGGAUAAAACUGCCAAUCUUUUCUGAGAUAGGAACUGGAGCCUGAGACCCGAGCACCACUUCCUGCAGUGUGCUGCCAGGUCACAUUUUGCAAUCUCGCCCCUCCUUCCCCCUUCCCCCAGACCAAUUUUUUUUUUUUUUUUUAGCCAGUGUCUGGCCUGGGACCCAGAGCACAGGCUUGGGAGGGCAGAGCAGCUUGGUGAGAUUCUGCACAAAUGCCAGAAGCAUCUUGUGUUUCUCUGCUGUUCUAGUGGUGAGCAGCAGAGAUUCAGGAGUGAAGGGAGGGCGGCAAUUGCUGGGGAGGAGGAACGAAAAGCAAAUAGAGUUUUCAAUUUUUUGUUUCUUCUGACAAUGAAUAAAAUGCUUCUGAACAAAGAAAAAGGUGCCCAUAAAAUACAUAAAAUGUAAAUAGCACCAAUCUAUUCAGAGGAAGGAUCUCCUAAGAAUGAGAAUUGUAUUUCAUCGUUUUUUAACUUUUCUUGGGCCCAAAUUUCAUCAUAAUAGCUGCAAAAAAAAAGCCGUGCUUUUUUUAUAAAACAGGAGUAUUUAUGAGGAGCUACAUAAAUGUCUGAGUAAUAUGGCAAGAUUCAUUGUGUUGCUUUUCAUUUGUUGAUUCUUACUUAAAUCUCU
rnacentral:lncRNA from 1 species